CCACUGGAAACAAAGUAACUGCGAACGAUACCUCGUACGCCCUCGCCGCUUAAAACCGGUGAGCCUCUCAACGGCAGGCCAAUGGGCCGGGUUUGAAGACCGCAAGGUUCGAUAGCUGAGAGGUCAUUCACAUUGGCUGGCGCUGCAUCGGGUCACUUGGUGCAGGGUGAGAUCUAGGUGACUGGCGGGUUGGACAGCGUGCUGCUGCGCGGUCCAGGACGUGAGACACAAAUCAGUCAGCUACGCAUGUAGAACUGUCCGGCAAUGGCUUGCGGACGGGGGUUCGAUUCCCCCCGGUUCCACCA
rnacentral:tmRNA from 1 species